rnacentral:rRNA from 1 species
UACAGAGGGUGCGAGCGUUUGUUCGGAAUUAUUGGGCGUAAAGCGCUGGUAGGUGGCCUGUUAAGUCGCGUGUGAAAGCUUCCGGCUCAACCGGAAAAGUGCGCGCGAAACUGGCGGGCUUGAGUGCGGGAGAGGGUCGCGGAAUUCCCGGUGUAGAGGUGGAAUGCGUAGAGAUCCGGAAGAACACCGGUGGCGAAGGCGACUCACUGGACACAUAUUGACGCUGAGGUGCGAAAGCGUGGGGAGCAAACAGGG